rnacentral:misc_RNA from 1 species
GCAGUAAGAGCAAGGAGUCUUGCGUCACCAAGGCUGCCGCUCCUCGCUCUCCCAUACGCUCACAUCGCGUAGUCAUCUGCAGAUCUGUUGACCUUUGCGCGCCUGGACGGGCACGGCGGCGCUACAACGCAGUGAUGCUGCGGCUUACUCAAGCGGUGCUGCGUGUGCAGUCGCAUCAGAAGAAACGCGCGCAGCACCCUAAUGCGGGUACGCGUUACGGCCGCGUGUACAACCGCGGCUUUGUGCGUUACGGCUUUGGUGGCUUUGGUAUGUCUGUCUACAGCCCCAAGAAGGACCGCACCUUCAAGGUGAUGCCGGUGCCACCACCACCACCAGCCACCACUAGCGUGGAGCAGCGAGACGACUUUGCCGACAACCGCGGCCUUUCCGCAACGACGCGCACGUUGUCUCCAACAUUUCGCAUGUUUGCUCUCGAGGACGGCGGCGUCUUCGUGUCGCACCCAUCGCACGCGCAGAUUAUGCGGUGGAAUCAACGUGUGCACACCGAGGAGGGCAAGGCAGCGAACAGCACUGUCAUGGAUGAGUAUGUCAACUCGCGCAUUCAGGCCAUCAUCGCUGACAACACGAUCGAAAACACGUCCCUUAGUCAGUGGCGCAAGGCGCAUAUGUGGAACGUUAUCAAGUCUCACGGCAAGCUGCAGCGUCGCUGGGGCACGCCGGACUUCGUCACGGGUGCCCGCUCGACCUUGUACAACAACUGAUGGACUGUUCGAGGUGAGGCUGUUGACGUUCUUUUCUCUCGUUCUCCUCCUCCUGCCUUGUCGGUGUUUUGUAUGGGGUGCUUGUGGGUUUGCAUGUGUAUGCUGCAGCGCGCGUUACCUUUUUUUUUUGUAGGGGACUGCGUAGUUGUUCCGACAGGCAUGGGAGAUCCACAUCUCUAAGGCUGCAUGCAUGUGAAGUGCCAGUCACGCACACACACAUAUAUAUAUAUGGGGGGAGGCGAGGCGAGGCGAUCGGUGUUCGCAGACGCUGAUGCGGACGGCUGACGCAAGAGCGCUGUGAUGUAGAGAGCACGCCGCGCUCUCGAGCUUUGCGAACCUCGAAAAAAAAAAGAAGAGAGCCGACAUGCUUCUGUUUGGCUCUCGUGCAAGGGAUACUGGAAACCAUCUGUGCACGUCACCAUUCCCUCGUGCGUAGCGUGAGCACCCGUGCGCUGGCACAUAGGCUGCUGAUCCUACCUCUUCUCUGGCACCCCCUCCCCCUUCCUUCCUUCCCUCUCUCUCGGGCACAACUAG